AUUUGUAGUUGCUGAAAUUGUAUGAAAUAUAUUAAUUAAGUCCAUAAAGAUGAGCAAUAAAUUCAAAUUUAAGGUCAAAAUAUCAUUGACUAACCAAAAUAAAAAAUUUUAAAAAUUUGAGUAGUAAAAUUAAAAUUUUAAAAAAUUAGAUAGCUAAUUCAAAAGAGCCCGACAAUGAGAUAAAGGGCUUUUUUUGUAUUUAGGCCCCUGGUAAAUUUUUAUUUUAAAAAUAGCCCUGUCAAAAUUUAAUUUGCAAAAAUGGCUCUGAGCUUGCCAUGCAGGCGCCACAUCAGCGCCACGCGCGUAGGGUUGGGACCCGUGUGUUAAGUUGAACACGGUGAGCCAUUCACCGUGUUCAAACACGGUGAAUAGAUCACCGUGUUUAAUUCGUAUUUUUUGUAUAUUGAAAAAAAGAAUAGGAAGUAGGGAUGUCAAUAAGUAUGAAUAUCCGAAAUAUUAUCCGAAUCCAAAUCCGAAUAUAUAUAUAUAUAUAUAUAUACAUAAUUCAUUUUUAUUUAUUUAUUUAUACAAUAUAUAAAAUAUAUCCAUAUCCGACCAAAAACUCGAAAUCCGAAUCUAAACCCAGCGGGUUUUAAAAAUCUAUACCGUUGGAUGAAAAUCUAAGGAAUAAAAAUUAUUAAAUAUUUUAUAUAUUGUAUAAAUAAAUA
rnacentral:lncRNA from 1 species